UCCAAAACUUCAAGUUUGAUUCCACAAUUUGCAUCUCCGAUUUACGCAGCCGUAGUCGUCGUUGGAAGCAAGGUAUUACUACAAGUUCAUUGUUAAUGGGGAUUGGCAGCUUUCAACAUCGUCCCCAUCUGAAAGGGAUGGAAGUGGGAAUGUCAACAGUAUAAUCAUCCUUGGCGAAACUGCCGGUGUGAGACCUUCUGUUUAACAACCGCAAAAUGUUCUUUUCACUUUACUCCUCUUGAUCAUGGAGGGAGAUACAUCGUGGUUUAGCCAUUCCUUUGACAACAUGGCAAGGCAGACUCCAGAGUAUGAUUCAUUCUCAGAACUCAGAAGGUAAGUAUGAUUCAUUCUCAGAGAUCAUUGAUGGAGGAAAUAGAGAAGGGUAAUUAAAUUUUUUCUGGCCUUCGUACUUUAGGUUUAUGUCCCAUGCAAUUGUGCAUUAUCACCUGCCUCUUGCAAUAUUAGCUAGGUUGAUCUCGUAGGUGAAUUAACUCCGUUUCUUUCUGUUUCAGUGUACAUUGUUGCGAUUCUUUUCUUUUAAUUGGAGAAAAGUCUAUGAAAUACUUUUUAUGGCAUGUAUUGAAUGCUAUGAAAAGUAGUUUAUGGUCUAGUAUUUGCAACACA